rnacentral:rRNA from 1 species
AUUGAACGCUGGCGGCAGGCCUAACACAUGCAAGUCGAGCGAGCGGCGGACGGGUGAGUAAUGUCUGGGAAACUGCCUGAUGGAGGGGGAUAACUACUGGAAACGGUAGCUAAUACCCCAUACCAUCAGAUGUGCCCAGAUGGGAUUGGCUGGUAGGUGGGGUAACGGCUCACCUAGGCGACGAUCCCUAGCUGGUCUGAGAGGAUGACCAGCCACACUGGAACUGAGACACGGGCAGGACUCCUACGGGGGGCAGCAGUGGGGAAUAUUGCCCAAUGGGCGCAAGCCUGAUGCAGCCACGCCGCGUGUGUAAAGAAGGCCUUCGGGUUGUAAAGCACUUUCAGCGGGGAGGCGUUACCCGCAGAAGAAGCACCGGCUAACUCCGUGCCAGCAGCCGCGGUAAUAC